GACGAACGCUGGCGGCGUGCUUAACACAUGCAAGUCGAACGGAAAGGCCCCUUUGGGGGUACUCGAGUGGCGAACGGGUGAGUAACACGUGAGUAACCUGCCCUUGACUUCGGGAUAACUUCAGGAAACUGGGGCUAAUACCGGAUAGGAAUCCUUGCUGCAUGGUGGGGGUUGGAGAGCUUCGGCGGUUUUGGAUGGACUCGCGGCUUAUCAGCUUGUUGGUGGGGUAGUGGCUUACCAAGGCUUUGACGGGUAGCCGGCCUGAGAGGGCGACCGGCCACAUUGGGACUGGGAUACAGACCCGGCUCCUACGGGGAGCAGAAGUGGGGAAUGGUGCACAAUGGGCGGGAGCCUGAUGCAGCAACGCCGCGGGCGGGAGGACGGCCUUCGGGUUGUGAACCGCAUUCAGCAGGGGCGGAGCUUGUAGUGACGGUACCUGCAGAAGAAGCACCGGCUAACUACGUG
rnacentral:rRNA from 1 species